GUCUAUGGCCAUGCCACCCUGAACACACCCGAUCUUGUUUGAUCUUGUCAGGCCUGGUUAGUACUUGAAUGGGAGACUUCCUAGGAAGAUUGGGUGCUGUAGGUG
rnacentral:rRNA from 1 species